rnacentral:rRNA from 1 species
AUCGAACGCUGGCGGCAGGCCUAACACAUGCAAGUCGAGCGGAGCGGCUGACGGGCGAGUAAUGCCUAGGAAUCUGCCUUGCAGUGGGGGAUAACGUCCGGAAACGGGCGCUAAUAUCGUACACUAUUAUAUGAGCUGAGGUCGGAUUGGCUAGUGGGUGGGGUAGAGGCCUACCAAGGCGACGAUCCGUAACUGGUCUGAGAGGAUGAUCAGGCACACUGGAACUGAGAGACGGUCCAAAGGCCUACGGGAGGAAGCGGUGGGGAAUAUUGGACAAGGGGCGAAAGGCUGAUCGAGCCAUGCCGCGUGUGUGAGGAGGGUCUUCGGAUUGUAGAGCUCUUAACGUUGGGAGGCGUUACCAGCAGAAUAAGCACCGGCUAACUUCGUGCCAGCAGCCGCGGUAAUAC